rnacentral:rRNA from 1 species
UGGAAAGCUUUUGUGGUUUUGGAUGGACUCGCGGCCUAUCAGCUUGUUGGUGAGGUAAUGGCUCACCAAGGCGACGACGGGUAGCCGGCCUGAGAGGGUGACCGGCCACACUGGGACUGAGACACGGCCCAGACUCCUACGGGAGGCAGCAGUGGGGAAUAUUGCACAAUGGGCGGAAGCCUGAUGCAGCGACGCCGCGUGAGGGAUGACGGCCUUCGGGUUGUAAACCUCUUUCAGUAGGGAAGAAGCGAAAGUGACGGUACCUGCAGAAGAAGCGCCGGCUAACUACGUGCCAGCAGCCGCGGUAAUACGUAGGGCGCAAGCGUUAUCCGGAAUUAUUGGGCGUAAAGAGCUCGUAGGCGGUUUGUCGCGUCUGCCGUGAAAGUCCGGGGCUCAACUCCGGAUCUGCGGUGGGUACGGGCAGACUAGAGUGAUGUAGGGGAGACUGGAAUUCCUGGUGUAGCGGUGAAAUGCGCAGAUAUCAGGAGGAACACCGAUGGCGAAGGCAGGUCUCUGGGCAUUAACUGACG